CAGUAGCCGCGGGAAAACAGAGGAUGCAAGCGUUAUCCGGAAUGAUUGGGCGUAAAGCGUCUGUAGGUGGCUUUUCAAGUCCGCCGUCAAAUCCCAGGGCUCAACCCUGGACAGGCGGUGGAAACUACCAAGCUGGAGUACGGUAGGGGCAGAGGGAAUUUCCGGUGUAGCAGUGAAAUGCGUAGAUAUGCGGAGGAACACCGAUGGCGAAGGCAAUCCCCUGGGCCUGCACUGACGCUCAUGCACGAAAGCGUGGGGAGCAAACAGGAUUAGAUACCCCAGUAGUCCCUGUCUCUUAUAC
rnacentral:rRNA from 1 species